CCUACGGGUGGCAGCAGUGAGGAAUAUUGGUCAAUGGGCGUAAGUCUGAACCAGCCAAGUAGCGUGAGGGAUGACUGCCCUAUGGUUUGUAAACCUCUUUUAUAUGGGAAUAAAGUGUGCCACGUGUCGUGUUUUGUAUGUACCAUAUGAAUAAGGAUCGGCUAACUCCGUGCCAGCAGCCGCGGUAAUACGGAGGAUCCGAGCGUUAUCCGGAUUUAUUGGGUUUAAAGGGUGCGUAGGUGGAUUUUGAAGUCAGUGGUGAAAGUUUGUGGCUCAACCGUAAAAUUGCCGUUGAAACUGGCGGUCUUGAGUACAGUUGAGGCAGGCGGAAUGCGUGGUGUAGCGGUGAAA
rnacentral:rRNA from 1 species